rnacentral:rRNA from 1 species
GAGUUUGAUCCUGGCUCAGGACGAACGCUGGCGGCGUGCCUAACACAUGCAAGUCGAACGAAGCUUGACGAUAGAUUUCUUCGGAAUGAAAUCAGAUAUGACUGAGUGGCGGACGGGUGAGUAACGCGUGAGCAACCUGCCCUUUGGAACGGGAUAGCGUCUGGAAACGGACGGUAAUACCGUAUAAAAUAUUUUGAUGGCAUCAUUGAAAUAUCAAAACUCCGGUGCCAAGGGAUGGGCUCGCGUCUGAUUAGAUAGUUGGUGGGGUAACGGCCUACCAAGUCGACGAUCAGUAGCCGGACUGAGAGGUUGAACGGCCACAUUGGGACUGAGACACGGCCCAGACUCCUACGGGAGGCAGCAGUGGGGAAUAUUGCACAAUGGGGGAAACCCUGAUGCAGCAACGCCGCGUGAAGGAAGACGGUUUUCGGAUUGUAAACUUCUGUUCUUAGUGAAGAAACAUGACGGUAGCUAAGGAGCAAGCCACGGCUAACUACGUGCCAGCAGCCGCGGUAAUACGUAGGUGGCAAGCGUUGUCCGGAA